GCUAGUAAUCGCGGAUCAACAUGCCGCGGUGAAUACGUUCCCGGGCCUUGUACACACCGCCCGUCACACCAUGAGAGUCGAUAACACCCGAAGCCUGUAGUCUAACAGCAAUGAGGACGCAGUCGAAGGUGGGAUUGAUAAUUAGGGUGAAGUCGUAACAAGGUAAC
rnacentral:rRNA from 1 species